AAGCUUGCUUCUCUGUCGGCGAGUGGCGAACGGGUGAGUAUAGCAUCGGAACGUGCCAAGUAGUGGGGGAUAACCAAACGAAAGUUUGGCUAAUACCGCGUAAGCUCCAAGGAGGAAAGUAGGGGACCUAAAUAAGGCCUUACGCUAUUUGAUCGGCCGAUGUCGGAUUAGCUAGUUGGUGGGGUAAUGGCUCACCAAGGCAAUGAUCCGUAGCGGGUCUGAGAGGACGAUCCGCCACACUGGGACUGAGACACGGCCCAGACUCCUACGGGAGGCAGCAGUGGGGAAUUUUGGACAAUGGGGGAAACCCUGAUCCAGCCAUGCCGCGUGUAUGAAGAAGGCCUUAGGGUUGUAAAGUACUUUUGUUAGGGAAGAAAAGCUAGUUUUUAAUAAAAAUUAGUGAUGACGGUACCUAAAGAAUAAGCACCGGCUAACUACGUGCCAGCAGCCGCGGUAAUACGUAGGGUGCAAGCGUUAAUCGGGAUUAUUGGGCGUAAAGCGAGUGCAGACGGUUACUUAAGCCAGAUGUGAAAUCCCCAAGCUUAGCUUGGGACGUGCAUUUGGAACUGGGUGACUAGAGUGUGUCAGAGGGAGGUAGAAUUCCACAUGUAGCGGUGGAAUGCGUAGAGAUGUGGAGGAAUACCGAUGGCGAAGGCAGCCUCCUG
rnacentral:rRNA from 1 species